rnacentral:rRNA from 1 species
UGGGGAAUAUUGGACAAUGGGCGAAAGCCUGAUCCAGCCAUGCCGCGUGUGUGAAGAAGGUCUUCGGAUUGUAAAGCACUUUAAGUUGGGAGGAAGGGCAGUAACCUAAUACGUUGCUGUCUUGACGUUACCGACAGAAUAAGCACCGGCUAACUCUGUGCCAGCAGCCGCGGUAAUACAGAGGGUGCAAGCGUUAAUCGGAAUUACUGGGCGUAAAGCGCGCGUAGGUGGUUUGUUAAGUUGGAUGUGAAAUCCCCGGGCUCAACCUGGGAACUGCAUUCAAAACUGACAAGCUAGAGUAUGGUAGAGGGUGGUGGAAUUUCCUGUGUAGCGGUGAAAUGCGUAGAUAUAGGAAGGAACACCAGUGGCGAAGGCGACCACCUGGACUGAUACUGACACUGAGGUGCGAAAGCGUGGGGAGCAAACAGGAUUAGAUACCCACGUAGUCCCUGAGCGGGCUGGCAAGGCGCAU